UACGGAGGAUCCGAGCGUUAUCCGGAUUUAUUGGGUUUAAAGGGUGCGUGGGCGGCCUAUUAAGUCAGGGGUGAAAUACGGUGGCUCAACCAUCGCAGUGCCUUUGAUACUGAUGGGCUUGAAUCCAUUUGAAGUGGGCGGAAUAAGACAAGUAGCGGUGAAAUGCAUAGAUAUGUCUUAGAACUCCGAUUGCGAAGGCAGCUCACUAAGCUGGUAUUGACGCUGAUGCACGAAAGCGUGGGGAUCGAACAGG
rnacentral:rRNA from 1 species